rnacentral:rRNA from 1 species
UACGAAGGGGGCUAGCGUUGUUCGGAAUCACUGGGCGUAAAGCGCACGUAGGCGGAUCUUUAAGUCAGGGGUGAAAUCCCGAGGCUCAACCUCGGGAACUGCCUUUGAUACUGGGGAUCUCGAGCCCGGGAGAGGUGAGUGGAACUGCGAGUGUAGAGGUGAAAUUCGUAGAUAUUCGCAAGAACACCAGUGGCGAAGGCGGCUCACUGGCCCGGAACUGACGCUGAGGUGCGAAAGCGUGGGGAGCAAACAGGG